GCGAAACCCUAAUUUCUAACGCGGCCUCUCACUUUUCUGUAUAUAUAUGCAGACCAAAGCCUCUGUUACUCUCGUCCUGAUCUCUCUGCCUGCGUCGAUCAGGGAAAUUGAAAGAAAAGCUUUUGAAGAGAGAUUGGAUGAUGUUAGACACCGUUUGAAUGACCAAACAUAGAUCUCUGGAAAAUGAAUGACGAAGAAUGCACUAAUAAAGGGUCUAAACAAAUUGUAUGCUAAUAGUACCAAGUACGACUGGAAUGGCAAUGUCAAGCGAUCUAAAACUAGAUUUGUUAUCAAAAAUUAAAUUGGAAAAGGGGUAUUGAUCAUAAAGAAAAACCUCUACUUGUCUCAUGGAAUUCUUACGAUUUGGAGAUACACCAAAAGAAUGUGAUAACAACCUUUCUUAAUAAGUAACUGAAGCUAUCAUAAUUGAAAAGAAAAGUUAAAUGAGCUUCUGUUAAGGACAUAGCGAGUUCAAUGAUUUCAUAAUUGAUGUAAAGCAAACAAUGUCGAUUUGCUACAAAAUGAUUUGAGUAUUCUGCAUGACAUGAAAGGUUUUCACAGAAUUUCGAAAGAAGGCAUGGGAGAGGCAUCUGAUGUGAUGUGAAUUGUCGCGAAAGUUUUUAAUAUUCUCUUGUAAAAGCUUUAUCAAAAGAGUUUUACGGUUCUUAAUAUGCAUAAACAUUCAGCAG